UGCAUUGGUAAUGCUUUGUCCACAAAAUUCCAAAUCUAAUCUAAAAAAAUCUAUGACGAUACCGCUUCACCUCCGCUUCGGAGCGCCGGAGUAACGUUAUGUAAUUAUGACAUUCAAUGGAGGAAACCCUCUAUGUCCUCUUCAACGCAUCUUCAGUUCGUCACUGGAAGUGGGAGCCCUCUCCAAAUCCCUCCAUUCCAGCGACCUCAUAGAUCCCAAAAGAUACUUCUAAUUUCUAUUUAUUUUUUCCCUUCACUGAUUUCGUACUUUUUUAUAGAUGCUCACAGUCAGUCUCUGCCAAAAGUAACCGGCUCAAUACCUUCAAACACAUUCUGAAGGAAGGAUCUCCUAUGAGAUGAGAGUUUUUUAUGUCACCAGAAGCAACCAAAACUUCAGAUUUGUCGACAGCCCUGUUGCUAUUAGAUUCACGGAGAUACAAAAUUUGAUGAGAUAGCAGAAACCAUGAACCCUCUCCCGGUGGAACUUUUCAGGUUUAGUGAUUACGAACAACUCAUGUUCUUGACUAAUACAAACACGGAUUUGUCAGAUAUUGCUGGUGAAGCGAGGGAUAUUAAAACCAUUUACAAUUAAGAAACCCAAAGCACUCAACGUAUUAUGCCUAAUAUAAGAAGUCACAGGUCCCCUUUAUUUUGUUAACCUUUUUAAGACCAAGGUUAGUUUUAAUAUAUCAAAAUGUUUUGCAUUUCAUCUCUUCAACUAUGCAGGAACACCACUGUUUGUCUUAUUGUUUUUGAAGGACUUACCAUGCUUCUCCAUAAUAAAUUAGUAACGUCUGGUGUUGAGCCUUUAAUGAUGAACAUCAACCUUAAAUUAGUAGGAGGUAGACUUAUAUCUCCACACUCAUGUUCUUUGCAAUUUCUAAUAAGUUAGUUUUUAAAGCUUGGAUGUACGCAAGAAACUCAUAUAGAGCAAGUUUUCUGGCCUCCUCAUCACGUCGUUUGUACUUUGACCAUCUCUCCUUAGUGGAAUCUCUUUCAUAUAUUAACCCAUGCCAUUUGUUUCUUUUCCACCCCAUUUGUUACUGAGUACAGACGGUCAGAGUUACCUUAAAGGGUUAGGAGUUAGCGCAGAAAACCCCUCUGACACAUUCCUUACCCUAGGAUCUGUAGCAGUGAGUAAGGUUGUUCAUCUACUUCUACAAAAUAUGGAGAUGUCAAAGAAGAUUGAAUCUAUAACAGUAUCAGAGCCCAAUGACUAUAUCCUGAAUUCACCGCCUCAGUGUAUGUUACUUUUGACGCUGAGAUGACAAAAUUGACCAAUAUUUGUGCUUCACUGGUCAUGGUAUCAGUCACCGGGUAACCCAUUAUAUCUAUGUAUAUCUUCUCAUGAUUUUUGACGUUGUUUACUUUGACAUUUUGUGAUACAGGACCCACAUGUCAGGGCCCUCCCACAAGGCCUCCAAGAUAUUGUAGGCAAGAUAUUCACUUUCCGCUUUACAAAUUCAAUCUCUCUUUUAAACAUCACUCUUUCCCUGUCUCACGAAUUUCAGUCGUCACCAGCGCCCAUCAAUAGCUAAUUUUGCGGUCCAGUGUUCUGUGACCAGUAGAAGGUUCAAUAGUCAUGGUAUGAUUGAAGAAAACAGAGGCGAGGCAGCUCUACUACGAGCUCGACCUGUUGUUCUUGAAAUGACUGUGGAGGAGCCAACAGUUACAGAGGAUGGACACUCUGUAAAGAAGGCACGCGUUGAGUAAAAUCUCAAGGGAGUCUAUGACCCUCAUGUCGUCGACCACAGCUACGCUGGAGUUUUCUCAAAUUUAGCAUAAUAAUGAAAUAGGACUACAACUCAUUCCCACCCGUUAUGUUAGGGUCUUUGUUUUUUUUUUCAAAAUUUCGUGUGUCUCAAGUAAGCUCUCUUUUUAUAAGUAUAUAAAUAACAACUCCUACUUUCCGAACUCA